UUCUGGUCCCUGUCCCCUGCCCAGGGGCUGUCUAAGGGUUCAUCUCUCGCAGGAGCCCCUGUAUCAUCUCAGUAACUAGACCAGUACCCAGUACCAUAUCGACUUCCCCGACUUUGAAAUAAUUUUCACAUGCAAUUCUCAGGUGCACUUCCCUAGAACCUCUCUCACUGUUCUUUGCCUUCCUCCUCUCCCUGCCUUGUAUCUCCGUGGUCCUGCCAAAAAUCGGAAGCUCAUUAUUAAACCAGGAGCUGCCUUACAUUAUCCCAGAGACUAUAGAUGUUAAAUAUUUGCUUCUAUCUCAACUGAGGACUGACAUAGUAAAGGCUCCUUGAGAUGUUAGCUGUCAAGGAGGGGAAUAAAAGUUUUUCAUCUGCAUGAGUAAUUGUUUCCUGUUUUAUCCAGAGAGACAACAGAUUUACAUCCCAGACACAUUCACACUGGGCCAAGAGCAGCUGCCAUUGCAGAUUCCAGUCACGUCCUUUUUUUCCCUCCUUCUCCUUCUUGGAGUUACAACAGAAGCUGGAGAGGUGAGAGUGCUGAAAGGACAUGGAUGAAGCAGGGAGGCACGUGCCUGUCUCAUUCACCUGUGGAUCUGCUGCAUCCAGGACCAUGCCGGCACAAAGUGGGAGCCCAAGGAAUAUUUAUUGAAGAAAUGAAAGGUGACAGAAGGCAGAAGGAGGGAGACUCCAAGAAGAGCUCCCCAUCCACCCUGCUGAGAGCCACCUCCACCACUCAAUGAACCGCCUGCAUUCAUCCUUAAAGUUUAUGUGUGACCUGAUUCUUCCUGGACACGGACAAAGACCUAGGUACCAAGAGGGUCCACUGAACUGUCUAACACUUAAGUCAUCCAUGGACAGCAAGGCUAACAGAAUGCUGUAACAUGUGCCCACUUGGACUCUGGGAGUCACAGACACCCACCCAUAGAUGCUACCAUGGGGCUGGAGCCCAAAAAGUGCUCACCCUGGCUCCUGCACCUGCCCAUCUGCGUGCUCCCCCUCUGGUAAGGGGUUUGAGGAUGUGAGGGCUGAACAUAAGAGCUAUGCCCCUGUCACACGUCAUGGGACAGGGGUCAGGGAACUCUCCCAUUUCACUUUCAAAUAUUCCAGGUCCCCUUUUCAUUUGGGAGCCAGAGUCCAGUGGAGACAGAGAUAGAAAGCCUGAAAUAGGAUCCAGGCAAUAUAAACCUACAUGCUGUAAGC